UACGUAGGUGGCAAGCGUUGUCCGGAUUUAUUGGGUUUAAAGGGUGCGUAGGCGGCCCUGUAAGUCAGUGCUGAAAUACCCCGGCUUAACCGGGGGGGUGGCAUUGAUACUGCAGGGCUUGAGUACAGAUGAGGUAGGCGGAAUUGACGGUGUAGCGGUGAAAUGCAUAGAUAUCGUCAAGAACACCGAUAGCGAAAGGCAGCUUACUGGGCUGUAACUGACGCUGAUGCACGAAAAGUGUGGGGGAUCAAA
rnacentral:rRNA from 1 species